GAUGAACGCUGGCGGCGUGCUUAACACAUGCAAGUCGAACGGACUUUAUAUGAAGCCUAGCGAUUAUAAAGUUAGUGGCGGACGGGUGAGUAACGCGUGGGUAACCUGCCGUAUGCUGGGGGACAACAGUUGGAAACGACUGCUAAUACCGCAUAAGCGCACAGAGAGGCAUCUCUCAGUGUGAAAAACUCCGGUGGCAUACGAUGGACCCGCGUCUGAUUAGGCAGUUGGCGAGGUAACGGCCCACCAAACCUACGAUCAGUAGCCGGCCUGAGAGGGUGAACGGCCACAUUGGGACUGAGACACGGCCCAAACUCC
rnacentral:rRNA from 1 species